rnacentral:tRNA from 1 species
AUUUAAAUAACUUAAAUUAAAGUAUAUCAUUGAAGAUGAUAAAAUGAUGUUGAAUCUUUAGAUA